rnacentral:rRNA from 1 species
GUGGGGAAUAUUGGACAAUGGGCGAAAGCCUGAUCCAGCCAUGCCGCGUGUGUGAAGAAGGUCUUCGGAUUGUAAAGCACUUUAAGUUGGGAGGAAGGGCAGUAAGUUAAUACCUUGCUGUUUUGACGUUACCGACAGAAUAAGCACCGGCUAACUUCGUGCCAGCAGCCGCGGUAAUACGAAGGGUGCAAGCGUUAAUCGGAAUUACUGGGCGUAAAGCGCGCGUAGGUGGUUUUGUAAGUUGGAGGUGAAAUCCCCGGGAUCAACCUGGGAACUGCCUCCAAAACUGCAUGACUAGAGUACGGUAGAGGGUAGUGGAAUUUCCUGUGUAGCGGUGAAAUGCGUAGAUAUAGGAAGGAACACCAGUGGCGAAGGCGACUACCUGGACUGAUACUGACACUGAGGUGCGAAAGCGUGGGGAGCAAACAGGAUUAGAUACCCGAGUAGUCC